ensembl:snRNA U12 U12 minor spliceosomal RNA
AUGCCUUAAACUUAUGACUAAGGAAAUAACAAUUCAGGGUGAUGCCUGAUUCCUCACUGCUAAUGUGAGAUGUAUUUUUGAGUAGGUAAAUGUUGCCCCAAGGUUACCCGUCUACCUUGUGGGAUCCUUGGGAUUCAAGAUCUACCCC